ACCUGUGCAAUUCACUGACUUCAGCAAGUUCUCGUGAACUCAGCACAUGCGUAGUUCACUAUUGUCCCCUGCAGUCCCAAAGCUAUUGCCACAGUGUGCAAAAUGGUGCCUGACG